rnacentral:tRNA from 1 species
CUCUCUGUGGUGUAUGAAACAUGUUAUAAUUUCAUUAUAAAGAAGAUAUUUCCAGAGUGG